AAUUCAUUCAAUUUGUAAAAUAAAAAGAGAAAAGAAUAUGGCUAAAAAUUUCAAGUUUAUUUAUGCUAUAAUUUUAUUUCUUUUCUUAGUUCAUCUUUCAAUGGUGGAAGCUGGCUAUGUAGGUAUUCCUUGUAAAACUGAUGAAAAUUGCCCUUUUCCUAGAUUUCAGAGUGUUAGGCCUAAUAUGGUGACUGACUUUUAUACGUGUAUUAAUAAAUGGUGUAUCAUGUUUAACAGGUUAUAGCAAAGACCAUAGUUGCAAGGGAAAUAUCAAAGACAUAUAUAAUAUACUUUAUGGUAGAAUGUUGCAUGAGUGGUCAUUUAAGAUUUAUUCUUACAACCAAUACUUGUAUUUUUCAUAUAAUUUUUCCACUACAGAAAAAAAGGGCUUCUGCCACGCCUAGGAAACCGAGGCUAUAUGCAAAAUAACCGUGGCGUAACGCUGAGGGUACGGUUUGGCCACGGAAAUCCAACUGUGGAGUAUGCGGUCGUGGCCUAAAGUAAAGUCCACGGUUUUUUGGUAUAGACCACGCCUUUUUGACAACCGUGGCUUUUUUAGGCCACGAUUUAUGUAGCUUGAUUAAGGUCGUGGUUUGUAUUUGCCAUGACUGCAAAACUGUGGCUAUAUGGUAAAGCCACGGUUUCAAUUUAACGUUUACGACACAAUAUUGGUUCAAGAUAUAGCCACAGUUUAGUUAUGACCACCUAUUUAAAACCAUUGUUAUAUGUUAUUCUUUCUAAACCA